CAUUCUGGUCCACUUUGAGCAACUUCCCUUGUGGCCUAGAAGAUGGGCUUAUCCUGUCGUUGGCCAUGCUGGGGCCUUCUAGGGUCACAGUGCACAGAGGGCAUGGGGCCUUCAUCUCUGUGGCAGGUUGCACUUGUACCUGGAGAGUCGGCCUGGGCAUGAGGCCAACACACCCCCCUCACCUGGGCAGGAGAGGCAGCCAGGUAGGAGGACCCACCCCCUGAAGCAGUUCCCUCUCUGCCCCCAGCCUUCGGUGGCAAGCUGAAGAACCCACUCCAAGUUGUCCUGGUGGCCACCCAUGCUGACAUCAUGAAUGUUCCUCGACCGGCUGGAGGCGAGUUUGGAUAUGACAAAGACACAUCGUUGCUGAAAGAGAUUAGGAACAGGUUUGGAAAUGAUCUUCACAUUUCAAAUAAGCUGUUUGUUCUGGAUGCUGGGGCUUCUGGGUCAAAGGACAUGAAGGUACUUCGAAAUCAUCUGCAAGAAA
rnacentral:sRNA from 1 species